GUGUUGUAUGAAAGGAAAGAAGGUUAGUACUACCCUUGACAAGGAUGGAAGAGGCCCUUGGGCCUGACAACACGCGUAUGGUUAAGGCAUUACCACGUACUUCGCGGCACCUAACCAUUGUUUUUA
rnacentral:ncRNA from 1 species